ACGGGAGGCAGCAGUGGGGAAUAUUGCACAAUGGGGGAAACCCUGAUGCAGCGACGCCGCGUGAGUGAAGAAGUAUUUCGGUAUGUAAAGCUCUAUCAGUAGGGAAGAAAAUGACGGUACCUAACUAAGAAGCCCCGGCUAACUACGUGCCAGCAGCCGCGGUAAUACGUAUGGAGCAAGCGUUAUCCGGAUUUACUGGGUGUAAAGGGAGCGUAGACGGCAAAGCAAGUCUGAAGUGAAAUCCCGGGGCUCAACCCCGGAACUGCUUUGGAAACUGUUUAGCUAGAGUGCAGGAGAGGUAAGCGGAAUUCCUAGUGUAGCGGUGAAAUGCGUAGAUAUUAGGAGGAACACCAGUGGCGAAGGCGGCUUACUGGACUGUAACUGACGUUGAGGCUCGAAAGCGUGGGGAGCAAACAGGAUUAGAUACCCUGGUA
rnacentral:rRNA from 1 species